CCUACGGGAGGCAGCAGUGAGGAAUAUUGGUCAAUGGCCGUAAGGCUGAACCAGCCAAGUCGCGUGAAGGAAGAAGGAUCUCUGGUUUGUAAACUUCUUUUAUAGGGGAAUAAAGGUAUCCACGUGUGGAUAUUUGCAUGUACACUAUGAAUAAGCAUCGGCUAACUCCGUGCCAGCAGCAGCGGUAAUACGGAGGAUGCGAGCGUUAUCCGGAUUUAUUGGGUUUAACGGGCGCGUAGGUUGUUUUUUAAGUCAGCGGUGAAAGUUUGUGGCUCAACCAUAAAAUUGCCGUUGAAGCUGGAAGACUUGAGUGUGUUUGAGGUAGGCGGAAUGCGUGGUGUAGCGGUGAAAUGCAUAGAUAUCACGCAGAACUCCGAUUGCGAAGGCAGCUUACUAAGCCAUAACUGACACUGAAGCACGAAAGCGUGGGGAGCAAACAGGAUUAGAUACCCUAGUAGUC
rnacentral:rRNA from 1 species